rnacentral:rRNA from 1 species
UACGUAGGGCGCAAGCGUUGUCCGGAAUUAUUGGGCGUAAAGAGCUCGUAGGCGGUUUGUCGCGUCUGCUGUGAAAACUCGAGGCUCAACCUCGGGCUUGCAGUGGGUACGGGCAGACUAGAGUGCGGUAGGGGUGACUGGAAUUCCUGGUGUAGCGGUGGAAUGCGCAGAUAUCAGGAGGAACACCGAUGGCGAAGGCAGGUCACUGGGCCGCAACUGACGCUGAGGAGCGAAAGCAUGGGGAGCGAACAGG